GGAGCUAUCUUUGCUUCUAUUCCAACAACAUUAUUUUGGAUGGCUUAUAUUGCUUGUUCGUUGCUUACAUGGAGUUGAUGGGGUCAGUUAUCUCUCAUUACAAGGAAUCAGUAACACCUCCAAGGAAUCAACCUGUCUAAUUUUAGGCCAUUUGGAAGGCUUUGGCAGGACUACUUUUAAUUCUUUACCAAUCAGUGAAUGACGGAAGUUAAUGGUUGCAUGAGAUUGGAACAAUCUAUACUUUGGUCUAAAAUUGAUUUCGGUGUUUAGAAAUUUUGCGAACAUGUCAAUGGUUAAGUACUAUGACAAACAGACAACUUUAACACCUUAUGCUCCGUUGAGCCCACAGCUCCCAAAAGAGGGGUGAAGGCACCAGUGGCGGCAAAGAAGAAGACCGAUAAGGUUCUGAACCCUUUAUUUGAAAAGCGUCCAAAACAGUUUGGUAUUGGUGGUGCAUUUCCUCCAAAAAGGAUUUCCAUAGGUUCGUGAAAUGGCCAAAAGUUGUCCGCAUUCAACGCCAAAGGAGGAUUUUAAGCAACGUUCGAAGGUUCCACCUGCUUUGAACCAGUUCACAAAGACCUUAGAUAAAAACCUUGGAAAACGAUAAAGUUGGAGGACGAUUUAUAUAGUUUGGUUACAUAUUACUUGGAAUGCUUGUUGGACCUGCAACUGCUGGAAGAGGAGAAUCAUAUUUGUUGAACAAAAGAGAAGGUCAAUUCAUUGCCUGGCAUAUCGCCUAUUUUACUACCGAUCAUCUAAUUUACUGCUGGGAUCGGACGAUGGUGGAUGCUUGCCUUACAGAAGGUGCUCACUACCAGGACCUUGUUCAGGUGCAUAACUCAUAAGUGUUGCAGAUUUGAAAGACAAUCGGCACGCAAGACAAGGCAAAGACUGUUAUCUCAUGCGUGUUUGAUGCCAAUGCUGGAAUUACUUGAAAUGAUAAAUUUGUCUAUGCUCGCGUUAAAUGCUCACAAAGUGUUGGCUCUGAAUUGUGAUUGGUUAAAUAAAAAAAUUUUUUGGUUGCAAGUAUCAUAAUGAAUAGACCUUUCUGCUUGUAUUUCCACAAUGUAUGUAUGAGUGUUGAAAUGUGUGUCGCAGCCUGUGUUUCAGGAUAAAUUGUGUCGCAGGCCUGUAAACUGGAAGCCCAGGUCAGUUAUAAUGGAUCUGGACUAUCCAUUUUUUUAA